rnacentral:rRNA from 1 species
GAACCUGCGGAAGGAUCAUUGUCGAGACCCGAACAAACGGACGAUCGCGAACGUGUUACACCAUACUUACUUACUUACGACUCCGUUCCGUCCCGUCACUCCUCGCGGCGUGGCGAGAUUUUGGAGGAAACGAAACCCCGGCGCAGUGGGCGCCAAGGAACACUUCUUGGAAACGCCGUCGCGGCCCUCUCCACCUCCCUUUCUGUCUGUCCCACGAUAGGGAGGGAGGGAGGGAGGGAGGGAGGAGGAGGGACGCAGGCGUGGAUAUACAUAUCGUAUUCUGUACGACUCUCGGCAACGGAUAUCUAGGCUCUCGCAUCGAUGAAGAACGUAGCGAAAUGCGAUACUUGGUGUGAAUUGCAGAAUCCCGUGAACCAUCGAGUCUUUGAACGCAAGUUGCGCCCGAGGCCAUCCGGUCGAGGGCACGCCUGCCUGGGCGUCACGCCUCCCGUCGCUCCCCACAGCCGUGCGGAUGCGGAGAUUGGCCCGCCGUGCUCCGUGCGCGGCGGGUCGAAGUGCCGGCCGUCGUCGGGCCUGGCGCGGCGAAUGGUGGACGAAUACAUCGUUGUUUGUGCCUACUCUCCGUGUCCUUGCCCUCAACAAUGCGACAUGUCGUCGUCGGACCCCUCACCAUGGACCCUUCCGGCUUCCGAAUAAGAAGAAGGAACCGUCCUCGGAACGCGACCCCAGGUCAGGCGGGGCU